GAGACAGCAGCCGCCACGGUAAUACGAAGGGUGCAAGCGUUACUCGGAAUUACUGGGCGUAAAGCGUGCGCAGGCGGUUUGUUAAGACAGAUGUGAAAUCCCCGGGCUCAACCUGGGAACUGCAUUUGUGACUGGCAGGCUAGAGUAUGGCAGAGGGGGGUGGAAUUCCGCGUGUAGCAGUGAAAUGCGUAGAUAUGCGGAGGAACACCGAUGGCGAAGGCAGCCCCCUGGGCCAAUACUGACGCUCAUGCACGAAAGCGUGGGGAGCAAACAGGAUUAGAUACCCCAGUAGUCCCUGUCUCUUAUAC
rnacentral:rRNA from 1 species